GAUGAACGCUGGCGGCGUGCCUAAUACAUGCAAGUCGAGCGAACGGACGAGAAGCUUGCUUCUCUGAUGUUAGCGGCGGACGGGUGAGUAACACGUGGAUAACCUACCUAUAAGACUGGGAUAACUUCGGGAAACCGGAGCUAAUACCGGAUAAUAUUUUGAACCGCAUGGUUCAAAAGUGAAAGACGGUCUUGCUGUCACUUAUAGAUGGAUCCGCGCUGCAUUAGCUAGUUGGUAAGGUAACGGCUUACCAAGGCAACGAUGCAUAGCCGACCUGAGAGGGUGAUCGGCCACACUGGAACUGAGACACGGUCCAGACUCCUACGGGAGGCAGCAGUAGGGAAUCUUCCGCAAUGGGCGAAAGCCUGACGGAGCAACGCCGCGUGAGUGAUGAAGGUCUUCGGAUCGUAAAACUCUGUUAUUAGGGAAGAACAUAUGUGUAAGUAACUGUGCACAUCUUGACGGUACCUAAUCAGAAAGCCACGGCUAACUACGUGCCAGCAGCCGCGGUAAUACGUAGGUGGCAAGCGUUAUCCGGAAUUAUUGGGCGUAAAGCGCGCGUAGGCGGUUUUUUAAGUCUGAUGUGAAAGCCCACGGCUCAACCGUGGAGGGUCAUUGGAAACUGGAAAACUUGAGUGCAGAAGAGGAAAGUGGAAUUCCAUGUGUAGCGGUGAAAUGCGCAGAGAUAUGGAGGAACACCAGUGGCGAAGGCGACUUUCUGGUCUGUAACUGACGCUGAUGUGCGAAAGCGUGGGGAUCAAACAGGAUUAGAUACCCUGGUAGUCCACGCCGUAAACGAUGAGUGCUAAGUGUUAGGGGGUUUCCGCCCCUUAGUGCUGCAGCUAACGCAUUAAGCACUCCGCCUGGGGAGUACGACCGCAAGGUUGAAACUCAAAGGAAUUGACGGGGACCCGCACAAGCGGUGGAGCAUGUGGUUUAAUUCGAAGCAACGCGAAGAACCUUACCAAAUCUUGACAUCCUUUGACAACUCUAGAGAUAGAGCUUUCCCCUUCGGGGGACAAAGUGACAGGUGGUGCAUGGUUGUCGUCAGCUCGUGUCGUGAGAUGUUGGGUUAAGUCCCGCAACGAGCGCAACCCUUAAGCUUAGUUGCCAUCAUUAAGUUGGGCACUCUAAGUUGACUGCCGGUGACAAACCGGAGGAAGGCGGGGAUGACGUCAAAUCAUCAUGCCCCUUAUGAUUUGGGCUACACACGUGCUACAAUGGACAAUACAAAGGGCAGCGAAACCGUGAGGUCAAGCAAAUCCCAUAAAGUUGUUCUCAGUUCGGAUUGUAGUCUGCAACUCGACUACAUGAAGCUGGAAUCGCUAGUAAUCGUAGAUCAGCAUGCUACGGUGAAUACGUUCCCGGGUCU
rnacentral:rRNA from 1 species